AUUGAACGCUGGCGGCAUGCCUUACACAUGCAAGUCGAACGGUAACAGGUCUUCGGACGCUGACGAGUGGCGAACGGGUGAGUAAUACAUCGGAACGUGCCCAGUCGUGGGGGAUAACUACUCGAAAGAGUAGCUAAUACCGCAUACGAUCUGAGGAUGAAAGCGGGGGACCUUCGGGCCUCGCGCGAUUGGAGCGGCCGAUGGCAGAUUAGGUAGUUGGUGGGAUAAAAGCUUACCAAGCCGACGAUCUGUAGCUGGUCUGAGAGGACGACCAGCCACCCGGGGACGGAGACACGGCCCAGACUCCUCCGGGAGGCAGCAGUGGGGAAUUUUGGACAAUGGGGGAAAGCCUGAUCCAGCAAUGCCGCGUGCAGGAUGAAGGCCUUCGGGUUGUAAACUGCUUUUGUACGGAACGAAAAAGUCUCCUCUAAUACAGGAGGCCCAUGACGGUACCGUAAGAAUAAGCACCGGCUAACUACGUGCCAGCCGCCGCGGUAA
rnacentral:rRNA from 1 species